CUGCGAUGAUCUUCAUGUGUUAUUGCAGGCCAUGGUGGUUCACGUGCAGAUGAGUAUUUAAAGGAGCAUCAUUUUGAGAAUCUGACUAAGCAUCCACAGUUUCUAAAAAACACUAAAUUAGCUAUAAAGAAGCCCCUGGAGGUAUUCCAUAUAGUUGUUGAUGCUGGAAAUGGAGCCAGAGGGUUUUUCACUAUGCAUUCAUGAUCCAACUCAAACUUUGGAAGAACUUUACUCACUAUUAUUGAUAACUGGUUUGUGCCAAGGGAUAUUGGGCCACCAGAAGCAUCUGUUUUGGCAUCUCCUCUGCUGGAUUUGCUGAGAUCAAGGGAGGUAUCUUAUCAUAAGGAAGCAUACGUUAGUAGAUCUGUGCUUUUUGCAGCAUCAUGCAUAUUGAUUUCUCUUCACCCCUCUUUCAUCACAUCUGCCCUAACUGAAGGAAAUGCUGACAUUUUAAAAGGGCUUGAACGGGUUCGCACAUGGGCCCUAAACGUAGCUGAAUCAGAUACAAAUAAGGAGUGCUACACGGUAAGUCAGAACUAAGUUUUAUACUGAAGGUUGAAGUGUCCAUUUGUAUUUCUGUUUACUAUGCUCCAUUAUGUUAUAAUCUGAGGCUCAUCAAGGUGAUGCACUUACAAUUUCGAAUUGCAGAUAUCUUUUAAAUUUGUUCUUCUCCUGAUGAUUAAAAAUUGUCCAAGUUAUUAUAUAAAUGUCUUAAACUAGAUAUUAGCCUUGUAAAACUCUCCAGCCCAUCCCAACCUAAAAGAGAAAAAGUAUGAAUCCUCUCCUUUGUACUAAUUAGAGCUUGCUGUUUCACUUUGAAGAAUGGGGACCUGUAGACAAAGCAGGUUUAGAGCCAUGGGAAUGUUUAUUACAUAUUCUGAUUUUUUUUCCAUCUAAAUAAAGUAUUACAGAAUUGGAAGAGACCAAAAUUUGUAAUUGCCUUUUAACAAGUCAAGGAAAAAAAAAAGAAAGAAAAUGUGUGUCUAUUAAUGUGUUUGUAUAUUGCCCAUAUGAAUAUUAUAAUUAUCAUUUGAACUUUUAAAUUAAAAGUAAUUAGCAAGAAUGCCUUUUUGGCUUCUAUAUUCUACUCCUGGCCUUUCUUUCACUAUUCUUUUCUGAUAUUCUUACUUCUAUUAUACUUUCUCAUCAUCUAAUUUAAUCAGUCACCAACCAUGGAAAUCGAUUGGGUUUUGGGAAAUAUGCAUACUUAAACUAGCUGCUGUAACUGCGGCUAAAAAGAUUUGAAGGCAACAAAAGUAGAGGCCAAUGUGGAUUUAACCAAGAGAUUUUGGCUAGAAGUAUUGAGACUUUGUGUGAGUUGUAAAAUUGUUGCCUGACUUGGCUCCACCUCACUAGGCUGGGCUCAUGUUAAAUUCCUUAAAAUUGUGAUGUGCACAACUUCACUAAACAGAUAUGAUGUUGUGGGUCUGUUACUUUUAAUAGAAGAAAACAGUGGGAUUAUGAUGUUGUGAAAAGCACAAAUCCAGAAUUCAAAAAAGCAACUGUACGGAUCAAUAUCUACAAACACCACAGACAGACGAUUCAGGUAAGCAAAAUGGCUAUGCUUUACAAGGACUUUAGCUGAUAAACGUGAGGUAAACUUUUGCAAACAUGGACCUUUGUGUCGGCAUGUCUGCCUCUGCUUCCUUCUAGCCACGCUUCCAUUUCCUUAUAAUCCAUGAUCAUUUCCCUGAUUUAGGCUGAGUUGCUUCAAAAGAAAUAUGAAGAGAAGUACAAGCAAGUUGCAGAAAUUGCUUCUAAAUUAACAAUUGAAGAGGCUGCUUUGUUGUUUCUGUAAUUGAUAUUGGUUAACUUUGGAAUGAUAUGAUAUGAUAUUGGUGUAGAUCAGAGUUAAUAUUUUAUUCUUUAAUUUGUUGAUCAAUUGCAUUAA